CCAGAAAUCAAUCCAAGCCAUUAUGCUCAAUUAAUAUUUGAGAAAGUGUUGGAAAAGCCUCAUAGAAUAAAUAUGUUGUUUCCUUUAUUCACAGAACUGUGUGUUAGAUCUGUGGGAAGGAAUUACAAGACAGCU